GACUGAUUGCGCUCGCCGGUAGCGCAAAUGUUGGCUGGACCUGCAAUAGCUGGAUGACAGAAGUCUAAAUGGAUUAGCCCCCUUGCCCAUUCAUUAUUCAAUAUCUAAUACACCAUUGGAGAUGAUAUACAACCUCACGAAGAGAGAAAGAAAAAUGGAUAUGUCGCUAUAGGUUGUGCUGUGACUAGCAUGCACGGUGGCCUUCGAUUAGAGGCCAAAACUUAGAAAACUUGUAUAUAUCGUAAUUCCAUUUUUCUGGUAGACUGAAAUUAGACUAUGACAGUGGAACAUUCAGAAAAAAUUAUCACUGAGAAAUCCAUGAACUCGGUCCAUGUAUAAACAAUGGCCAUUUGUUAGAAAUUUGUGAUUUGUCUCAUGAUACUGAUGAUGAUGAUGAUGACGAUGAUGAUGACAAUGAUAUUAUAUGAUUAUAAUAAUGCUGGUGAUGAACUUUUCUGUUUAUGUGACAAAAUGUUUGUUACUGACAAAGCUCAGAAUGUUGAUUCCACCAGUGUAGUUCAUUUAAAGCAGUCCCUUCCAUCCAUCCCUAAAGCAAAUAUUAGUAGCGUAUCUGAAGUAAAUUCAUCUGUACCAGGGCCUAAUAUAACUUCACUUUUAUCAUGUAAUUCACCUUUUUCCGAGACAAAACUAUCUAUCCAAAGAAUCAUAGU